rnacentral:misc_RNA from 1 species
GUAGGUGAACCUGCGGAAGGAUCAUUAACACUUUUAUUCAUAUACACCCUGUCGCACCCCGGCCUAGCGCGCUUUGUCGUGGCGGCUGGAUACCAGAUGAGGAGUAAUGACCCUCACUGACUCUGACGGCUUCGGAAGGUCUUGAGAACUGGGCUAGAAUCUCUCUGAGAUUGGUUCUCUUGGCAUCUCUACUUCGGUGGAGGCUUCUGACUGAGCGGAGAACAGCCUCAGCUCGGCUGGCAAACUUUUA